rnacentral:rRNA from 1 species
CUCAAAGAUUAAGCCAUGCAUGUCUAAGCACAUGCCUUAAUACGGUGAAGCCGCGAAUAGCUCAUUACAACAGCCACCGUUUACUAGAAAAUCAGUAUCCUACUCGGAUAACUGUGGCAAUUCUAGAGCUAAUACGUGCGAAAAAGCUCGUUUCGCAAGAUUCGAGCGCAUUUAUUAGAAUAAAAACCAAUCGGGCCCAUAAAGCUCGUAAUUUGGUGAAUCUGAAUAACUUUGCCGAUCGCACGGUCCUAGUACCGGCGACGUAUCUUUCAAGUGUCUGCCUUAUCAACUUUCGAUGGUAGGUUAUACGCCUACCAUGGUAGUAACGGGUAACGGAGAAUAAGGGUUCGACUCCGGAGAGGGAGCCUGAGAAACGGCUACCACAUCCAAGGAAGGCAGCAGGCGCGCAAAUUACCCACUUCCAGAACGGAGAGGUAGUGACGAAAAAUAACGAGACAGUCCUCUUCGAGGUCUGUCAUCGGAAUGGGUACAAUUUAAAUCCUUUAACGAGGAUCUAUUGGAGGGCAAGUCUGGUGCCAGCAGCCGCGGUAAUUCCAGCUCCAAUAGCGUAUAUUAAAGUUGUUGCGGUUAAAACGCUCGUAGUUGGAUCUGCGGCCUCGGAGAACGGUCCCCCGAAAGGGCGGUCACUGUUACUCCAAGCCUAAAUAUCUAGUCUACUCUACGGUGCUCUUAACCGAGUGCCUAGAGUGACUGGAACGUUUACUUUGAAAAAAUUAGAGUGCUUAAAGCAGGCGAAAUAGCCUGAAUAAGGUGCAUGGAAUAAUGGAAUAGGACCUCGGUUCUAUUUUGUUGGUUUUCGGAGCCCGAGGUAAUGAUUAAGAGGAACAGACGGGGGCAUUCGUAUUCCGGCGCUAGAGGUGAAAUUCUUGGACCGCCGGAAGACGGACGACUGCGAAAGCAUUUGCCAAGAAUGUUUUCAUUAAUCAAGAACGAAAGUUAGAGGUUCGAAGGCGAUCAGAUACCGCCCUAGUUCUGACCGUAAA